UAUUUGAAGAAGCUUAUGCACUUCACUUCUCACUGCUUCUCUAUUAGAACUCAAGAAGUUUCCUUUUCUGCUUAUAAAAACACUGCAGUACUUGUUGAGAUGAGUAAAGGGAUUUAUUCUCAAUGUUUUUGCUGAUCAGCUUGUAUACCUUCCUUUUCACUGAUGAUAUCCAUGCGCUUGCAUCUUUUUUCCGCUUUAUAGCCUGUGGUUUGACAACGUACGGAAACUUUCAGAUCCUCAAUGUAUAUGUGACAAAAUAUCAAACUGGUGGAACCUAUUGGCCUAUUGUGCACAACACCACAAUUUUCUCAAUGGUGCUGAUGCAAAUUAUAGCUUUGGCAGUCUUUGGAUUUAAAAAAUCUUCAACAGCAUCAAGCUUCACUAUUCCAUUGAUAAUCUGUACACUCCUCUUCAAUGAGUACUGCAGGCAAAGGUUUGAACCAUUAUUCAAGUACACUCCUGCUCAGAUCCUCAUUGACAUGGAUAGGAAGGAUGAGGAAUGUGGGAGGAUGAUAGAGAUGCAUCAACAACUCACAUCAGCUUAUUGUCAGUUCAAAUCAACUUCACCUACACCGGGUAAAGCUGUUCCUGAAAGUGACGAAGAGAACAUGAGUAUCCAUAAGGUUCAUGAUGUAGAAGACAUUAAUCCAGGGAAAAGUCCUCAUUUUCCUCGAUCAUGUACAUCUUUUGAUAGUAACAGUCCUCCUCAUCUUCCUUUGACAUCUUUGGACAUUAGAAGUCCUCAUCUUCUUUCACCACGUGCGUCUUUGGAAAUUAAAAGUCCUCAUCUUCCAUCAUCAUGUACGUCUUUGGAAAUUAGAAGUCCUCAUCUUCCUUCAUCACGUACGUCUUUGGAAAUUAAAAGUCCUCGUUUUCCUUCAUCACGUACGUCUUUGGAAAUUAAAAGCCCUUGUCUUCUUUCACCACAUGCGUCUUUGGAAAAUAAAAGUCCUCCGUGUCUUCCUUCAUCACGUACGUCUUUGGAAAUUAAAAGCCCUCGUCUUCUUUCACCACAUGCGUCUUUGGAAAAUAAAAGUCCUCGUAUUCCUUCACCACGUGCGUCUUUGGAAAAUAGAAGUCUUCAUCUUCCUUCAUCACGUACGUCUUUCGAAAAUAAAAGUCCUCAUCUUCCUUCACCACGUACGUCUUUCGAAAAUAAAAGUCCUCAUCUUCCUUCACCACGUAGUUCUUUGGAAAUUAGAAGUCCCCGUCUUCCUUCACCACGUGAGUCUUUGGAAAUUAAAAGUCCCCGUCUUCCUUCACCACAUGCAUCUUAGGAAACUAGAAGUCCUCGUCUUUCUUCAUCAUGUACGUCUUUGGAAGCAGAAGAAUCAUGUGCCAAGUAGAUGAAUAUUUUCUGUGCUGAAUGUGCAAUCUUAUGACUGUCGAUUGUAUGGCAUGGUUGAUUUGUGAAAUGCCUUGAGAAGAAACUUCGUGAAAUGUAGAGAAAAUAUUUUUCUUUGGAAUAUGCCAUCUGAAGAGACUACUUGGAAGUGUAUAUAAAUUCUUCGGGGGCGUCUGAAGCUGCAACACUUUAGAGCAUAACAUUCUGGAAUUUUAUAAUGUGCUGGAGUUCCAAUAUUAUAUGCUGGAAGUUGAUACACAAGUGCUUCAAUCUCCAAUUGUUAUGCUAGAACUUUCUGUGUGCUGGAGUUCAUACACAGGUGCUCCAAUCUCCAGUAUAUUAUACGGGAACUUUCCGUGUUGUAGCAAAAUAUUGCUUAUUUUUCAACGACUUUGCAAAUGAUGGCUAUCUUUCAAUUACCAGUGCGAAAACUGGCUAGCCCGUGCUAUUCUAACCAAAACAACUACUGUUGUGUUGUAAUUAUUUUUGGCCUGUUGGACUAGUAUAUGUACGCCAUGUAGGGGUGUACAUGUACAUGUAC